rnacentral:pre_miRNA from 1 species
GGGGGGAGGCCGGAUCGUGGGCUGUGUCCCGGCGCCCUGUGCUCCGGGGCCUGCGCUGUUGGAUUCGCGCUCCCGCCCCGCAGCCCCCU